rnacentral:rRNA from 2 species
UGGGGAAUAUUGGGCAAUGGGGGAAACCCUGACCCAGCAACGCCGCGUGAAGGAAGAAGGUUUUCGGAUCGUAAACUUCUAUCCUUGGUGAAGAUAAUGACGGUAGCCAAGAAGGAAGCCCCGGCUAACUACGUGCCAGCAGCCGCGGUAAUACGUAGGGGGCAAGCGUUGUCCGGAAUGAUUGGGCGUAAAGGGCGCGUAGGCGGCCUGGUAAGUCUGGAGUGAAAGUCCUGCUUUUAAGGUGGGAAUUGCUUUGGAUACUGUCGGGCUUGAGUGCAGGAGAGGUAAGCGGAAUUCCCGGUGUAGCGGUGAAAUGCGUAGAGAUCGGGAGGAACACCAGUGGCGAAGGCGGCUUACUGGACUGUAACUGACGCUGAGGCGCGAAAGUGUGGGGAGCAAACAGG